AGGAUAGCUAAUACCGCAUACGCUUUGAGAAGGAAAGCAGGGGAUCUUUGGACCUUGCGUUAUUCGAGCGGCCAAUAACUGAUUAGCUAGUUGGUGGGGUAAGGGCCUACCAAGGCGACGAUCAGUAGUGGGUCUGAGAGGAUGAUCCGCCACACUGGGACUGAGACACGGCCCAGACUCCUACGGGAGGCAGCAGUGGGGAAUUUUGGACAAUGGGCGAAAGCCUGAUCCAGCCAUGCCGCGUGUCUGAAGAAGGCCUUCGGGUUGUAAAGGACUUUUGUUAGGGAGGAAAAGGUUGAUGCUAAUAUCAUUAACUGAUGACGGUACCUAAAGAAUAAGCACCGGCUAACUACGUGCCAGCAGCCGCGGUAAUACGUCUGUCUC
rnacentral:rRNA from 1 species